rnacentral:rRNA from 1 species
UCGAGUGUACUUCGGCAUCAGGGUUCCACCUCUUCCCAUUCCGAACAGAGAAGUUAAGCCUGAUCACGCCGAUGGUACUGCGUAACAGUGGGAGAGUAGGUAGUCGCCGUUUU